UACAGAGGGUGCAAGCGUUGUUCGGAAUUAUUGGGCGUAAAGCGCGUGUAGGCGGCUUUGCAAGUCGGGUGUGAAAUCCCUCGGCUCAACCGAGGAAGUGCGCCCCGAAACUGCAGAGCUUGAGUACCGGAGAGGAUGGCGGAAUUCCCGAAGUAGAGGUGAAAUUCGUAGAGAUCCGGAGGAACACCAGUGGCGAAAGCGGCCACCUGGACUGCACCUGACGCUGAAACGCGAAAAGCUAGGGGAGCGAACGGG
rnacentral:rRNA from 1 species